UGCGUAGGCGGCUUUUUAAGUUUGGUGUGAAAUCUCCCGGCUCAACUGGGAGGGUGCGCCGAAUACUGAGAGGCUAGAGUGUGGGAGAGGAAAGUGGAAUUCCUGGUGUAGCGGUGAAAUGCGUAGAUAUCAGGAGGAACACCGGUGGUGUAAACGGCUUUCUGGACCAUAACUGGCGCUGAGGCACGAAAGCGUGGGUAGCAAACAGGAUUAGAUACCCUGGUAGUCCACGCCCUAAACGAUGCAUAUUUGGUGUGGGCCAUUCAUUUGGUCUGUGCCGGAGCUAACGCGUUAAAUAUGCCGCCUGGGGAGUACAGUCGCAAGGCUGAA
rnacentral:rRNA from 1 species